UUCUUUUACGACGGAGCCUAAGAUAUUCUUUGUCUUGUCGAUGGAGGGGAGCCCAAAGCAUCUGAGAGAAUUGAUAAAUGAAAGAAACAUGCUUAAAACAUGACCGUUUUAAAGGUGAAUGCUGACCAGUGAGAUGCCAGCCUGCGUGUGAAGAUCCUACAGCAGAAGUGCAUGGCCAGUGACACAAGAACUUGCGAGAGAUGCCAGUCCGCCUGUGAAGAUCCUGCAGCAGGAGUGCAUAGCCAGUGACACAAGACGUGCGAAUGAAAACUAGAUGUGACCAUCCAGAAAAAGCAUAGACAAAAAAAUGCAGUCUUAGUACUGGGAUGUUUGAGAUGGGGUCUAUCUACAUGUCUCUAGCUGUCCCUAUCAGGACAGCAUCUGGUGUGGCCUGCAGAGUUGAUUCCUGUACUUUUUUUUUUUUGUGGGCUGUAUGUAAAUGGAUUGUUUUGACAAUCCAUUCGACAGUGUUCUCUUCUGUGAAGGUCAUAGGUGAGCUGAUUGACAGACACAGCUGUACAGACUGAAUGCAAUCCUGACUAUAAAGCUGCAGUUCAUCAUUAUGAGCUAUUUCCUUAUUCUGGCAGUGAUUGAAAUAAAAUGGGGAGUAUUGAAAUAAAAAACAUUCAAUUGCAAA
rnacentral:lncRNA from 1 species